CAAACGACUCUCGGCAACGGAUAUCUCGGCUCUCGCAUCGAUGAAGAACGUAGCGAAAUGCGAUACUUGGUGUGAUUGCAGAAUCCCGUGAACCAUCGAGUCUUUGAACGCAAGUUGCGCCCGAAGCCAUCAGGCCUAGGGCACGUCUGCCUGGGCGUCACG
rnacentral:rRNA from 1 species